GUGGUGUCAAAAGUCUAGGAUGUUGUGUUUAAGAGAUGAGAACUCCAAUACAUCAUUUUUUGCAUAGGUCAACUAUUUUGAGGCACAAAACAAAUAUAAUUUGAAACUUGAUAAAAAAUGAUGGAUCCAUUGCUAAUUUUGAUGAGGAUAUUUGGAUUCCAUUCCAAAACUAUUUUCUAAGCAAGUAAAACCUACAAUUGCCACCCAUCUCCCUUGACUUCUCACCCAUCCCUAUUAGGCUAUUAGAUGAUGAUAAUGUGCUUCUUUUAGCACUUGUGACAAAUAUCUAAAUUGAAGUCAUCAAGUCCCUUGAAUAUCUAAAGUCAGAUGGAUUUCC
rnacentral:lncRNA from 1 species